UGAGCCUUUCUCAACAUAUCCUCGGACUUAUGAUCUGAUUCACGUGGGAGCCAUAGAAUCUCUCAUAAAGGAUCCCGUUUCCGGCAAGAUCAGGUGCAGCCUUGUCGAUUUGAUGGUGGAAAUUGAUAGAAUUCUUCGGCCUGAAGGAACUGUUAUAAUUCGGGACUCUCCUGAAGUGAUAGACAAAGUAGAGCGUAUUGCUCCUGCUGUAAGAUGGACGGCAAGUAUUCAUGAGAAAGAACCUGAAUCACAUGGAAGGGAGAAAAUCUUGGUAGCCACGAAGAAUUUUUGGAAGCUACCUUCUUCAUCCUACUGAUUGAUCCUUUGGUUUUUGUAAUGUAGGUAUAUCCUUUUUGUCUCAUUAUUAAGUCCCAAUAACUUGUUUCAAAUGAUGCAUCUAUUCUACUUCUUUCUUGUCUCUUCAAUUAGCUUAUGUAGAAUUAAAUGGAAGUGUACAAGGAUGAGGGAAACUGUAAAUUCUUUUUUUAUAGUAUCACUGCUACAAACUCUCCUAACUUCUUUGGUAUUAGAAAAUGACCAGCCAGGUGGCUUCUUGUUCACCAGAGUUGGCAAAAGUUGCAUGGUAUGAA
rnacentral:misc_RNA from 1 species